AGGGAAGGAGGGAAAGAUUUAAUAUGUGUAGUCAUAGUUACGUAGAUAUAAAAAUCACGCCUUAUCCAUAAACAGCAUGCCAUUUUGAGUUGAAUUCACACUUAAAAUACAGACUUUUCUUUUUUCAAAUCAGGAAAGGUCCAGGUGUGUGGAGUAGCAUAGUCUCAUUUCCGAGCUCCCAGAACCCAGUUUUAUGACUUGGGUUGACUUAAUGCAAUAAAACAAAAUUAAGCACUGCUUGAUUGCUGUUUUUGUCCCAGUGCUGGGGAUGGAACCCAGGGGAUCACACGCACUAGGCAAGGGUCCCCCACCGAGCUACACCCCGGCCUACAAUUCCCUUAAACUGUUGGAGGUUUUUUUGAUUUUUUAAAUGGCAAUUAACAAAUGACAAAUGACAAUAGGCUGCUACAAAUAUGACUUUAUACUGAAAACAUUGUUUCUAAGAAUCGUGUAAAUAUUUUUUCAAAUUAAAACAAACUAGAGGGGUUUAUGUGCAAGUCAUUCAGUGGAAAACCUCUCAGAUGUGUGCUUUGACAUUUGUCGCUGAGGGGAAGCCUGGGUUUUCUUAGUUUUCUAAGAGAAAACUAGCUUUCUCCUCGUGUUGUCCACUUCCUGCAGGCUGAGGACAUGACUGUGUGGCAUGAAUCCUAGGGUUUGUCCAAAGGCCCCUCCCGUACUCUGAGUGGACGACAGGGAACUGGAAGCUCCAUUCUCCCACGCAGGAGAUUCAAUUUCUGUUAUAGAUUCCACUAGAAAAAUAACAACCAGCAUAUUCAUUAAGCUCUUCUUUGCUUCCUUAACUGUAUUUUCAUAUUUUUAUCCAACGUCUACCAGCGAUCUAGGCGUCUCGGUCAUCACCGAUUUCACGUCAUCCAUAUGACAUUCUACUUUUGUCCCCUGGCCAGGAUGAGACACACAGGACAUGUCCACAGACAGAUGCGCUCCUCACAGGCCCUGCUGUGACUUCUGAGCAGUUAUUUCCUAAUUCAAAGUGUGUUUUAUAGGUGGCCAAGUGUUACGACAUAGCACAGCGCCUGUGUGGAGUGCAGAAUAGCAUGCAUUGCUUGGGCAUAGUUCUUGCCUGAGCUGCUGUUUCUGGGAAUGCUUUACCUAUUUUGAGACUCGUACUUUCCCGGGCGCUUUUUGCUGUACAUGGAGAACACAUCCCCACAGAGGAGCCAAGCCAGCCAAGAGCCACUCCAUGUGGAACCUGGAAACGAACCCUGAAGCUACCCACCCUGGGCAGCUUGUCAACCCGUUUUCCUGACGUCAGUGUGGACAUCCUCUUGAAAAAGAUUUCUACUUAGAAUUAACUUAAAAGCGAGGCUCAUUUGCUUGAGUUUUACGUGACAAAAAUAACUUGUCAGUAUAUGUGUAUAUGAGUAAGAAUGAUUAUAGUUUGUAUUGGCAAUUGACGUACUGUACCAAUCAAUCCUCUUGCAUUAUCUCAAUUAAUCUUGGCAACUAUUGCACCUAUUUUAAAAUGACAAAUCAGGUGCCCUGUAACCUUCCUUGACUUAAGUUACCCAGCUGUCCGAUAGUGGAGCUGCCGUUUAAACCCAGGCAGCCUGAUUUUAGAACCUACCCCAUUCUGUCUUUUGCUAUGCAUAUAUACACAUACACAUAAAUACACACGUGUCAUAUAAGCAUGCAUAUACUUAUUAAUAAAUGUGUAAAUGCUCAGAAAAAUCUUCUGGAAAGAUUUAAUUCUCCUCAACCGUGCGCUCUUGGGAGAGGCAUUUGAAAUUAGGAUCAAUGCUUACAUUAAUUCCACACAUUUCUCUAAUCAUUUUAAUCCCCAAAACAAACAUGCAUUAUUCUUGUAUUUUAAAAAGUAAGUUAUUGAUUUUGCUGUCUGUGUCCCCCUGGAAAUGCUUGCUGAAUAAUUGAAGAGCAAGUCAUAAAAUCUGGUAGAGACAAAACAGUUCACAGAGCCAGGGAUGUAGCUCAGUUGUUUUGCCGCCUGCUGCGCAAGCGCAAAGAUCCGAGUUUGAUCCCCGGUACCA
ensembl:lncRNA